rnacentral:rRNA from 1 species
AACGAACGCUGGCGGCAUGCCUAACACAUGCAAGUCGAACGAGACCUUCGGGUCUAGUGGCGCACGGGUGCGUAACGCGUGGGAACCUGCCCUUAGGUUCGGAAUAACUCCCCGAAAGGGGUGCUAAUACCGGAUAAUGUCUUCGGACCAAAGAUUUAUCGCCUUUGGAUGGGCCCGCGUUGGAUUAGCUAGUUGUUAGGGUAAAAGCCUACCAAGGCGACGAUCCAUAGCUGGUCUGAGAGGAUGAUCAGCCACACUGGGACUGAGACACGGCCCAGACUCCUACGGGAGGCAGCAGUGGGGAAUAGUGGACAGUGGGCGAAAGCCUGAUCCAGCAAUGCCGCGAGAGUGAUGAAGGCCGUAGGGUUGUAAAGCGCUUUUACCCGGGAUGAUAAUGACAGUACCGGGAGAAUAAGCUCCGGCUAACUCCGUG